rnacentral:rRNA from 1 species
CUACGGGAGGCAGCAGUGAGGAAUAUUGAACAAUGGGGGCAACCCUGAUCCAGCCAUGCCGCGUGAGUGAUGACGGCCUUAGGGUUGUAAAGCUCUUUCAGUAGUGAAGAUAAUGACGGUAACUACAGAAGAAGCCCCGGCUAACUUCGUGCCAGCAGCCGCGGUAAUACGAAGGGGGCUAGCGUUGUUCGGAAUCACUGGGCGUAAAGCGCGCGUAGGCGGACUUUUAAGUCAGGGGUGAAAUCCCGGGGCUCAACCUCGGAACUGCCUUUGAUACUGGAAGUCUUGAGUUCGAGAGAGGUAAGUGGAAUACCGAGUGUAGAGGUGAAAUUCGUAGAUAUUCGGUGGAACACCAGUGGCGAAGGCGGCUUACUGGCUCGAUACUGACGCUGAGGUGCGAAAGCGUGGGGAGCAAACAGGAUUAGAUACCCCAGUAGUC